UAUCUGCUGCAAGAGAGUUGACGUAGUGGCGGACGGGUGAGUAACGCGUGGGUAACCUGCCUCAUACAGGGGGAUAACAGUUGGAAACGACUGCUAAGACCGCAUAACCCGCUAGUGUCGCAUGACACGGACGGAAAAUAUUUAUAGGUAUGAGAUGGGCCCGCGUCUGAUUAGCUAGUUGGUAAGGUAACGGCGUUACCAAGGCGACGAUCAGUAGCCGACUUGAGAGAGUGAUCGGCCACAUUGGGACUGAGACACGGCCCAAACUCCUACGGGAGGCAGCAGUGGGGAAUAUUGGACAAUGGGGGAAACCCUGAUCCAGCGAACCGCCGCGUGAGUGAAGAAGUAUUUCGGUAUGUAAAGCUCUAUCAGCAGGGAAGAUAAUGACAGUACCUGACUAAGAAGCCCCGGCUAACUACGUGCCAGCAGCCGC
rnacentral:rRNA from 1 species